CAGUAGCCACGGUAAUACGAAGGGGGCUAGCGUUGCUCGGAAUCACUGGGCGUAAAGGGUGCGUAGGCGGGUCUUUAAGUCAGGGGUGAAAUCCUGGAGCUCAACUCCAGAACUGCCUUUGAUACUGAAGAUCUUGAGUUCGGGAGAGGUGAGUGGAACUGCGAGUGUAGAGGUGAAAUUCGUAGAUAUUCGCAAGAACACCAGUGGCGAAGGCGGCUCACUGGCCCGAUACUGACGCUGAGGCACGAAAGCGUGGGGAGCAAACAGGAUUAGAUACCCCCGUAGUCCCUGUCUCUUAUAC
rnacentral:rRNA from 1 species